rnacentral:rRNA from 1 species
UAGAAAUAGUAGAUAAUACCGAAUGUGACCAUUACAGUUAGAGUGUAAUGAGGAAAGGAGCUAAGGCUCCGCUAGAAGAUUGGCCCGCGGCCCAUUUAGCUAGUUGGUGAGGUAACGGCCCACCAAGGCAAUGAUGGGUAUCCGGCCUGAGAGGGUGAUCGGACACAUUGGGACUGAGAUACGGCCCAGACUCCUACGGGAGGCAGCAGCUAAGAAUAUUCCACAAUGGACGAAAGUCUGAUGGAGCGACGCCGCGUGGAUGAUGAAGGCCGAAAGGUUGUAAAAUCCUUUUAAACUGGAAGAAUAAUCAUGGUAGGGAAUGACCGUGAGGUGACCGUACAGUUUGAAUAAGCAACGGCUAGUUACGUGCCAGCAGCCGCGGUAACACGUAAGUUGCGAGCGUUGUUCGGAAUUAUUGGGCGUAAAGGGCAUGUAGGCGGUUUUGAAAGCUUGAUGUGAAAUCCCACAGCUUAACUGUGGAACUGCAUUGAGAACUACAAGACUAGAGUUACUGAAGGGAAACUAGAAUUCCAAGUGUAGGGGUGAAAUCUGUAGAUAUUUGGAAGAAUACCAAUGGCGAAGGCAAGUUUCUGGCAGAUAACUGACGCUGAGGUGCGAAGGUGCGGGGAGCAAACAGGAUUAGAUACCCUGGUAGUCCGCACAGUAAACGAUGUACACUAGGUGUUUGACCAUGAGGUUGGGUGCCAAAGCUAACGUGAUAAGUGUACCGCCUGGGAAGUAUGCCCGCAAGGGUGAAACUCAAAUGAAUUGACGG